GACGAACGCUGGCGGCGUGCUUAACACAUGCAAGUCGGACGGAAAGGCCCUGCUUUUGUGGGGUGCUCGAGUGGCGAACGGGUGAGUAACACGUGAGUAACCUGCCCUUGACUUUGGGAUAACUUCAGGAAACUGGGGCUAAUACCGGAUAGGAGCUCCUGCUGCAUGGUGGGGGUUGGAAAGUUUCGGCGGUUGGGGAUGGACUCGCGGCUUAUCAGCUUGUUGGUGGGGUAGUGGCUUACCAAGGCUUUGACGGGUAGCCGGCCUGAGAGGGUGACCGGCCACAUUGGGACUGAGAUACGGCCCAGACUCCUACGGGAGGCAGCAGUGGGGAAUAUUGCACAAUGGGCGGAAGCCUGAUGCAGCAACGCCGCGUGCGGGAUGACGGCCUUCGGGUUGUAAACCGCUUUCGCCUGUGACGAAGCGUGAGUGACGGUAAUGGGUAAAGAAGCACCGGCUGACUACGUGCCAGCAGCCGCGGUGAUACGUAGGGUGCGAGCGUUGUCCGGAUUUAUUGGGCGUAAAGGGCUCGUAGGUGGUUGAUCGCGUCGGAAGUGUAAUCUUGGGGCUUAACCCUGAGCGUGCCUUCGAUACGGGUUGACUUGAGGAAGGUAGGGGAGAAUGGAAUUCCUGGUGGAGCGGUGGAAUGCGCAGAUAUCAGGAGGAACACCAGUGGCGAAGGCGGUUCUCUGGGCCUUUCCUGACGCUGAGGAGCGAAAGCGUGGGGAGCGAACAGGCUUAGAUACCCUGGUAGUCCACGCUGUAAACGGUGGGUACUAGGUGUGGGGUCCAUUCCACGGGUUCCGUGCCGUAGCUAACGCUUUAAGUACCCCGCCUGGGGAGUACGGCCGCAAGGCUAAAACUCAAAGGAAUUGACGGGGCCCCGCACAAGCGGCGGAGCAUGCGGAUUAAUUCGAUGCAACGCGUAGAACCUUACCUGGGUUUGACAUGGAUCGGGAGUGCUCAGAGAUGGGUGUGCCUCUUUUGGGGUCGGUUCACAGGUGGUGCAUGGCUGUCGUCAGCUCGUGUCGUGAGAUGUUGGGUUAAGUCCCGCAACGAGCGCAACCCUUGUUCACUGUUGCCAGCACGUUAUGGUGGGGACUCAGUGGAGACCGCCGGGGUCAACUCGGAGGAAGGUGGGGAUGACGUCAAGUCAUCAUGCCCCUUAUGUCCAGGGCUUCACGCAUGCUACAAUGGCUGGUACAGAGAGUGGCGAGCCUGUGAGGGUGAGCGAAUCUCGGAAAGCCGGUCUCAGUUCGGAUUGGGGUCUGCAACUCGACCUCAUGAAGUCGGAGUCGCUAGUAAUCGCAGAUCAGCAACGCUGCGGUGAAUACGUUCCCGGG
rnacentral:rRNA from 1 species